AAAAAAACAAAAGAGGGCUUCGUUCGAACGAAACCCUAACUUGCGUUGGAAGCACUCUUUCAUCUCUCGCACUUUUCCCUCCUCCGCCCAUUUUCCUUCUUUCCGGCAGCUUCAGUGCAACGUCGCUGUCCGACAAGACGCCGUCCACCGUUCACUGAACUCUGGUGCAUCCUAUUCUCGUGAAGUUGGCUCUUUUUUCCAAUUUUCCGCCGAUGAGGCGACGACCGUGAAUCUCGCCUGUCAUUUUAGCGGCGAGCUUGUUAUUUCCGGCAAGGGCUUUUUCCUUUCCGCUUCUUUGUCAAGAGGAAGGGCUUUCAAUGUUGUGUGUCUGAUUGCUUCCACUCCACGCUUUCGCCUAUAUUUAGACUAUUGGUAGGAAUUUAUAAUGAGCGAGCCGAGUUCGAUCCACAUAUUGCUCUGCUCGAGCUCGAGAUCAAGUGAAGCUUUGUGAGGCAAGCUGGACCUGCCAUCGGGUUCUUCUGCAGCUGCUGCUCUGUCCAUUAAUCCACUGCCGAAUAGAAACACGCAUCUAACACAAAAUUGGUCGCUCGGAUUUAUUAUUCCGGUGAGCAGUACCACGUGCCUGUGGACUCCACUAAUAAUUCAUGAACUGUACGUGCCACUAUUUGGAGGACUACUCAAGCGACAAAUUCAGGAACACAUAAUCUUCUUCAAAGUUCUUGGAGUUUCCGGUAAAAUGGUCGUCGGUGGAAUUCGAGUAUGAAAAACCGGUGAAGGUCGGCGAGUCUAUGAAAAUGAUACUUGCGAUCUGCGCUGCCAAGGCAAGUUGAGGUUAAUAAGGCAUAAGUCUUUGUAAGAAGCCAGAAAACGCCGGGAGAAGGGAGAAGAUUGCAGCACCUACGUACCCUGGUAAAUGAGUAAGGAUUGUACACCAAGGUUGGUAGGCUUCCGUUGUACUCUUCUACUUUAAAUUUCACAGGACCUACGAUCCAUCCGUCAUGAUCAUAAGUUCAAUAUUAGCAUAUACACAUGCAUAAAAACAUGAAUUCGACAGAUAAUAGGACUAAUUAUGUAACAACCGGCUGGUGAUUUCAAUUCAUCUCCUAGCAGUCAGUCGUGAUUUUUAGCUGUAUCGACUCGACCCACCCUGAUAUCGAGCACAGGCUUUUAGUCAAACAGAUCCCAAUCCAUGCCCUAAUAGUUUUGGUUCGAGGCCUAAAGAGGGUAUGAACAUUGAUAAUCAAUCACUUAACAAGUACCCCUUUUAUAAGUUGAGAAUGCUAGGUUAUAAGAGUCAUGUUCUGCGAGGAAACUUUCCUUACCGAUCUCGAACACUAGCCCACUAAAGCCGGAGCAGCCAGGUCCUCCUGUUAACCAGAAUAUAAGGGGAUCUGUUGUUGAGUUCCUUUCUGAUUUGAUGAAGUAAUAGAAGAUAUUGUUUGAUGUUGUCUCAUUCACUGUGAUGUACCUAUAGCAGCAGACAGAAACAAGGGAGUUAGCAAUGGAACAAUGUUGAUUAAUCUUUUCUAUGGCGAGCAUGGCCUGCCUAUAGUAAUUUUUAAUUUUUUUAGAAGGUAACUUAAAAAUUUUUGAAUUGUAACAGGUAUUUUUUGUUUCUUUGAAAAUAUUAGUAUGAAUCAUGGCCCCUGCCAGCGACAUCUUGGCUCCUUCCGCGUUGGACCUUAGUGGGGGACAAUUCAUUAAUUGGUCCCUUCAAUAUUUUUCUCCAAUGAAUUACCCGGCCGCCACCCUCCCUCCCCCUUUCAUAUAUCAAUCCCCCACCGGUAGGUGCCAAAGAAAAUUUUUUUCUAAGUCAAAGAAAUGAAAUGGUGUAACAAAAUAGUAACAUCUAUAUGAAUUGAACAUGCAAUGUGUUUACUACGUUUUUGCCUAUCUUAUCUGACUAGCUAUGCUUCUGCCUGCUCGACUGGCUAUGUUAUGGUUCUUUUAGGCAUGAAAAUCUUAUCCAUUUGACCAAUUUGUCUUAGAUGAAUUUAAUAGGAAAAUCUAGACUUAGUCCUACCAUUUUCUUGAAGCCUAUUUACCACAAUAGUGUACAUAAAAGUUGGUUUGUGAAUAGAAUUGGCCAGGCUGCUGAUUAAGGGAUUCAGGUGAAUGGGUUCUGAAUUGCAGGAAAGAAUGAAAUCCUAGAAAAUGACUGAUGAAAUUUACUAAAAAUAAUUAAAACUGAAUAUAUAUAUAUAUAUAUAUAUAUAUAUAUAUAUAUAUAGCAGUUUAGACUUGACACUUGUCGUCCUAGAAAUCAAAUUAGUUUUCCCACCGAUAGGAUUCAACCCAACGAAGUUGGACUUUACUGGUUGUUGGCCUAUCAUUAUCAAGACACUGAACACCUGCACACAAACAAUUGACAGGAGAACAAGCUAGGAAUCACUUAAAAUCAUCACAAUGACACACACAGUUUUACGUCCCAAAGUGCAAGGAACGAGAGUGGGUUGUAUGCAUCAGGGUCGUGUUGAGUGAGUUUGUAUUCAUCAGUGUUGUGCGUGCAACAGAUACAGAUAUAUGCAUUCGAAAAGGAGAAACAGGAAUUUGAGGUAUUUUGGAAAUUCUCUUUUUCUAAAUUAACUUUUGAACAAAGGGAUUUUCCUUUUUGCUAGUCAGGAGUAUUCUGAUCAUUAUAUCCCAUGCACAUAAGGUUACAGAAUAACUCCCAUAUGUAAACAUCAAACUGUACACUACUCGGUGUCUGUCUAGCGAACUACUGUAACCUGAGAUGAAAAUGAACUUACCCGGUGUACAUUUCAAAGGGAAGAUCACCAUCAUAACCUGGCAACCUUGCCACCCUUUCCUCCCCUGAAGCGUGUCGAGAGCCACCAAGCAAGAAUAAGCAGGCGAAGCUCAGCACAGAGGAGUAGCAGAAUUGUGCCAUCAUCAUUGGCGAUGGAAGUUAGCAACCAAAUGCUUCGUCGCAGACGCCCUUUCUGCAACAGAUUAACGUAGUUCCUGAAAAAGAGACGGAAUUUUGGUUGUCGUCCUGAUCGAUCUCUACAACCGUGAGGGAAGAAGAGAUCACAAGUCAUUGUUUUAUACAGAACCGGCGUGCUCGGUUGUGUUGGGCAUUCGUUCGCAUGCUCUGGACGUUCGCGGCGAGUGGAACACUGAUGUCCACCCUCACGUGACCCACGCUGGUUCGCUUGUUCGUUCUGCGGGUGAUCAUGCGGGCGGCUCACGGAGUGCACCUAAUCUUCUCAGUCCCAUUUUUCCUAUGUGCUCUUCCUUUCCGCAUAUUUCCAUCCAAGGACUGUAAUCACUUGAUGAACAUUUUGGUUCCUUAAAGGAAAUUGAAAUAAUUUUUCGUUUUGCCCUUAUAUGAAGGGUUUUUGUAAAAAAGAAAAGACAAAAAAAAAACUUUUUAUUAUCGCUUUUGCCCUUAUAUAAAGGGCUUCAUUUUUUUCA